GUCCAAAGUAAUAAGAGCAUACGGGGAAUGCCUAGGUAGCAGGAGGCGAAGAAGGACGUGGUAAGCUGCGAAAAGCUACGGGGAGAAGCAAACAAUCGAAGAUCCGUAGAUAUCCGAAUGGGGCAACCCGAAAGAGCUGGAAACAGAGGCGAACCCUGGGAAGUGAAACAUCUCAGUACCAGGAGGAAAAGAAAUCAAACGAGAUUCCUUUAGUAGUGGCGAGCGAAAAAGGAAGAGCCUAAAAGAUAUUAGUGUAAAAGGAUAUGGCCGUUGCUAAUAUCUGGUAGAGGGAUAGAGAUAGCCGAACCAUAAGAAAGGCGCUUAAGAAUCGGAGAUAGAGGAACUAUAUGGGAAGAUAGACGAAAAAGGGUGAAAGUCCCGUACUCGAAAUCGAAGAAGGCGAAGUUUUCUAAUCCCAAGUAGAGUAGGACACGAGAAAUCCUGCUUGAAUCAGGGUGGACCACCAUCCAAGGCUAAAUACUAACUGCUGACCGAUAGAGAAGAGUACCGUGAGGGAAAGGUGAAAAGGACCCCGGGAGGGGAGUGAAAGAGAACCUGAAACCGUAUGCUUACAGGAAGCGGGAGCGCAAGUGACCGUGUGCCUUUUGAUUAAUGUGCCCGUGAGUUAUUGUUACUGGCGAGGUAAAUCCGGAAGAGGAAAAGCCGAAGGGAAACCAAGUUUUAAAAGAGCGAAAGUCAGUAGUAAUAGACCCGAAGCCAGGUGAGCUACAUAUGUGCAGGUUGAAAGUCAGGUAAAACUGAGUGGAGGACCGAACCGGUAGAUAGUAAAAAAUCUUCGGAUGACAUGUGUGUAGGAGUGAAAAGCUAAUCGAACCUGGUGAUAGCUGGUACUCCCCGAAACGUGUGUAGGCACGGCCUAGAUAGAAGCAGUAAUUGGGGUAGAGCACUGAUUGGCGUAUGGGGGUCGACCUCAGAAACCAGUCAAACUACGAAUACAAGAAACUGAGAAAUCUGGAGACAGACUACGGAGGAAAAGCUCCGUGGUCGAGAGGGAAACAGCCCAGACCGACAGCUAAGGUUCCGAAGGGAAAGCUAAGUGUGAAAGGUAGUGAAGUUCUUUAGACAGCCGGGAGGUUGGCUUAGAAGCAGCCAUCCUUUAAAGAGUGCGUAACAGCUCACCGGUAGAAGGACAAUGCGCCGAAAAUGUAACGGAGCUAAAGCUUUACACCGAAGCUACGGAAUGGCAAAAGUCAUUGGUAGGGGAGCAAUGUAUGCUAGGGAGAAGGAUAAUUGAAAGAUUAUCUGGACGAAAUACAAGAGCGGAUGCGGGCAUGAGUAACGAAAUGGGAGUGAGAAUCUCCCACCCCGAAAGUCUAAGGGUACCUGGGGAAGGGUCGUCCGCCCAGGGUAAGUCGGAUCCUAAGGGGAACCCGAAAGGGGUAACCGAUGGGAAACAGGUAAAGAAUCCUGUACCGUGAAUUAUUGAAUAAUGAGGUGUGACGCAGGAGGCGAAUUUCCGAGACCAAGUUGCAAGGUUUUCUAAAUGCAAAAGCCGAAGAGGCUCCUAGGGAAAACCGGGAGAAGAGGAAGAUGUAUGAUGGGAAGGUCGAAAGAGACCAACGGAGAGGAAUCACACUGCCAAGAAAAGCAUCGCAUUGUGCUUGAGAUAAUGAGCGACCGUUCUGAAAACCGACACAGGUAGACGGGCUGAGAAGGCUAAGGGGAGCGGAAUAACUUCUGUUAAGGAACUAGGCAAAAUAGCCCCGUAACUUCGGGAAAAGGGGUGCUUAUUCGGGUGUUGAAAGAUGCGUGAAUAAGUUGCAGUGACAAGGCCCUGGCGACUGUUUACCAAAAACACAGGUCUCUGCGAACACGUGAAGUGGAAGUAUAGGGACUGACGCCUGCCCAGUGCCGGAAGGUUAAGAGGAGGAGUGCAAGCUUCGAAUUGAAGCCCCGGUAAACGGCGGCCGUAACUAUAACGGUCCUAAGGUAGCGAAAUUCCUUGUCGGGUAAGUUCCGACCUGCAUGAAUGGCGUAACGAUCAGGGCACUGUCUCAACAGAAGAUCCGGUGAAAUUACAGACUCGGUGAAGAUGCCGAGGACCCGCAGUUAGACGGAAAGACCCCAUGGAGUUUUACUGUAGCCUGACAUUGUAGUUUGUCAAUAUGUGUACAGGAUAGGUGGGAGGCGAAGAUAACAUAUCGCAAGGUAUGAAGGAGCCGAAAGUGGGAUACCACCCUCAUAUUGGUGUGCUACUAACAGAGGUAUGUGAAGAGCAUAAUCUGGACAUUGUUAGGUAGGCAGUUUGACUGGGGCGGUCGCCUCCUAAAGAGUAACGGAGGCGUGCGAAGGUCGGCUCAGGUGGGUUGGAAAUCCACCGAAGAGUGCAAGGGCAAAAGCCGGCUUAACUGAGAGAUUGACAGAUCGACCAGAAGGGAAACCUGGUCCUAGUGACCCGGCGGAAUAGAGUGGAAUAACCGUCGAUAAACGGAUAAAAGUUACCCUGGGGAUAACAGGCUAAUCACGCUCGAGAGUUCAUAUCGACGGCGUGGUUUGGCACCUCGAUGUCGGCUCAUCGCAUCCUGGGGCUGAAGAAGGUCCCAAGGGUUGGGCUGUUCGCCCAUUAAAGCGGUACGUGAGCUGGGUUCAGAACGUCGUAAGACAGUUCGGUCCCUAUCUGCUGCGGGCGUAGGAAGUUUGAGGGGGGUUGCUCUUAGUACGAGAGGACCAGAGUGAGUGUACCGCUGGUGAACCAGUUGUCAGGCAAAUGGCAGGAGCUGGGUAGCUAAGUACAUGACCGAUAACCGCUGAAAGCAUCUAAGUGGGAAACGGGCCCCAAGAUAAGACUUCCCGCUCGAAAGAGUUAAGGGUAGUUCGAGACUAGAACGUAGAUAGGCCACAGAUGUAAGUGCAGUGAUGUAUUGAGUCGAGUGGUACUAAUAACCCGAGGCUUUGGACAA
rnacentral:rRNA from 1 species